rnacentral:rRNA from 1 species
AUUGAACGCUGGCGGCAUGCUUUACACAUGCAAGUCGAACGGCAGCACGGACUUCGGUCUGGUGGCGAGUGGCGAACGGGUGAGUAAUACAUCGGAACGUACCCAGUAAUGGGGGAUAACUAUCCGAAAGGAUAGCUAAUACCGCAUACGCCCUACGGGGGAAAGAGGGGGAUCGCAAGACCUCAUGUUAUUGGAGCGGCCGAUGGCUGAUUAGCUAGUUGGUGAGGUAAAGGCUCACCAAGGCGACGAUCAGUAGCGGGUCUUAGAGGACGAUCCGCCACACUGGAACUGAGACACGGUCCAGACUCCUACGGGAGGCAGCAGUGGGGAAUCUUGGACAAUGGGCGCAAGCCUGAUCCAGCAAUGCCGCGUGCGUGAAGAAGGCCUUCGGGUUGUAAAGCGCUUUUGUCAGGGAGCAAAUCCUUGUGGCUAAUACCCACCGGGGAUGAGAGUACCUGAAGAAUAAGGACCGGCUAACUACGUGCCAGCAGCAGCCGCAGUAA